AGUCGAGCGAACAGAUAAGGAGCUUGCUCCUUUGACGUUAGCGGCGGACGGGUGAGUAACACGUGGGUAACCUACCUAUAAGACUGGGAUAACUUCGGGAAACCGGAGCUAAUACCGGAUAACAUUUGGAACCGCAUGGUUCUAAAGUGAAAGAUGGUUUUGCUAUCACUUAUAGAUGGACCCGCGCCGUAUUAGCUAGUUGGUAAGGUAACGGCUUACCAAGGCAACGAUACGUAGCCGACCUGAGAGGGUGAUCGGCCACACUGGAACUGAGACACGGUCCAGACUCCUACGGGAGGCAGCAGUAGGGAAUCUUCCGCAAUGGGCGAAAGCCUGACGGAGCAACGCCGCGUGAGUGAUGAAGGGUUUCGGCUCGUAAAACUCUGUUAUUAGGGAAGAACAAACGUGUAAGUAACUGUGCACGUCUUGACGGUACCUAAUCAGAAAGCCACGGCUAACUACGUGCCAGCAGCCGCGGUAAUACGUAGGUGGCAAGCGUUAUCCGGAAUUAUUGGGCGUAAAGCGCGCGUAGGCGGUUUCUUAAGUCUGAUGUGAAAGCCCACGGCUCAACCGUGGAGGGUCAUUGGAAACUGGGAAACUUGAGUGCAGAAGAGGAAAGUGGAAUUCCAUGUGUAGCGGUGAAAUGCGCAGAGAUAUGGAGGAACACCAGUGGCGAAGGCGACUUUCUGGUCUGUAACUGACGCUGAUGUGCGAAAGCGUGGGGAUCAAACAGGAUUAGAUACCCUGGUAGUCCACGCCGUAAACGAUGAGUGCUAAGUGUUAGGGGGUUUCCGCCCCUUAGUGCUGCAGCUAACGCAUUAAGCACUCCGCCUGGGGAGUACGACCGCAAGGUUGAAACUCAAAGGAAUUGACGGGGACCCGCACAAGCGGUGGAGCAUGUGGUUUAAUUCGAAGCAACGCGAAGAACCUUACCAAAUCUUGACAUCCUUUGAAAACUCUAGAGAUAGAGCCUUCCCCUUCGGGGGACAAAGUGACAGGUGGUGCAUGGUUGUCGUCAGCUCGUGUCGUGAGAUGUUGGGUUAAGUCCCGCAACGAGCGCAACCCUUAAGCUUAGUUGCCAUCAUUAAGUUGGGCACUCUAGGUUGACUGCCGGUGACAAACCGGAGGAAGGUGGGGAUGACGUCAAAUCAUCAUGCCCCUUAUGAUUUGGGCUACACACGUGCUACAAUGGACAAUACAAAGGGCAGCUAAACCGCGAGGUCAUGCAAAUCCCAUAAAGUUGUUCUCAGUUCGGAUUGUAGUCUGCAACUCGACUACAUGAAGCUGGAAUCGCUAGUAAUCGUAGAUCAGCAUGCUACGGUGAAUACGUUCCCGGGUCUUGUACACACCGCCCGUCACACCACGAGAGUUUGUAACACCCGAAGCCGGUGGAGUAACCAUUUAUGGAGCUAGCCGUCGA
rnacentral:rRNA from 1 species